GCAGCAAACAUGUCAGCACCAGGAGGAGAGAGAGACCUGGGCCUCAGCAGCAGGCCCCCUGCCACCCGGGAGAGAGAGAGAGCCUCAGCCAGCCAGGCCGGGACCACAGCCCAGGCCCCCCUGCUUUUGGGACAACAGAGGGACAUUUUCAUCUACAAGUCCUGUGGAGGUAGAAAAGCUAAACAGACACAGUCAUCUGCCCAAACCCAGGAAGAGCAUCAUAGCUGUGUGUGCACUCCAGAUGUCUGGAACCAAGGACGAAAAUUCAAAACUAACUCACGGUGCAAAGAAAUAGCUGGGCUUCUGUCAAAGAACUCUCUCUCUCUCCUCAA